CUCUCUCUCUCUCUAUAUAUAUUCUAUUCAUUUAAAUCCCAUCCGAAUGUCUAAAUCUCCUAGACUGCUUUGAUCAUCCUAGUGGAUUGGAUACAUAGACAUCUCUGAUGGAAGAGACAAACUAGGCUGCCCUGGCUAAAAGGUCAAACUUCGGGAAUCGAAGCGAAAAAAUUACAAAAAAGCACCCCCAAAAUGCGUGCCUGCUAGGUUCAGAUCCACAGCUCGAGGGGGGGUUUCAAUAGGACAGGUGCCAACGUGUGUCAAGGAUCCGACGGAUAUAAGGGACUAGGUGUAAACGCUUGGGGAUUGUGACAUUUGUGGUCAGUGUUUGCGUAAUCCGACACAAAGCUGGCAUAUACGCACUUGGCUCUGUUCUUUGCGACGCAGCAUCGUUUCGGGGCCUGGAGAGCGGGAGAGAAAAGUAGGAUCCAGCAGGCUCCAGGUGCUGCCUCCGGGAUUUUGUAACUGCUACUGAGCCGGGACGCGAUGCAUUUUUGCAGAGGAAACGGAACUGAAUAGGGGAUGGGGAACGGGGGAUUGCCCUAAAAAAUAGCUUUCCACCUAUUCGCUGACAUGCUGCUACACCAUUCUGCUCUUGCAGCUGUAGGAGCCGUGCACGAGUUGCACAGUUACACGCAGAAGCUGCUCUAUGUUAUCACCGUUUAGAUAACAGAGGUAAAAGUUAGCAGGAUCCAGGCACCGGAUAUGCGGUUUCUCAGCGCGAUUGGGUGGAAAGGCAGCAAGGUCUGGAUGAUUGUCUUGGCCAGCAAAGUGGGAAGGGGGCAUGACCCCCGCUUCCCAUUCAAAUCUGACAAGCUGGUGCUUGGGGCCAAAAAUCGCCAGGGUCCCCGCCGGAUCCGAGCACCCGAUCAGUGCGGGAAGCGGUGAUGCACCGGGGUGCCUCUGGGUCCAGACGAUGCCCGUGCAACGCGAGCUCGCUAUUCAUUCGCCGGCAUUUGGGAACUAGGGCUGCAAACCGGAGGGGUCCGGCAGGACAGGCAGAUCCCUGACAGCGGAGGCAGAGCACUACAGCAACUACAACUCCACUCCCAUACCCUAGAGAACUCCUCUUUGAGGACACUCAACCGCAGCUCCUUCCUUCAGGAUAUUAAGGCCAGCACCUUGGAUCCCAUCACAGAUGGGAUUCCUGCCCUAGCAUUCAGCCCUUGAGAUUCCACAAGGGUGACCAAGCAGAAAAUCUGUGGCAACAAACAACAGUAAAUUGUUGAAAGCUGUGUAAACAGAUUAUCUCAAACUAUGUUAACUAUUUUCACCACUUUACUUUUAUUUUUGUUUCUAAUACUUUAUUUUUUGCAGUUUCUCAUAGCUCCUGUGUUUGUACUUAAGUUUUUGCAAAAACAGAAUGUUUUAUUUAA